GGUAGUCGUACGCGGUGUGCGUAGUUUUGCAUGUCGAGCGGAUCGAUGGGAGCUUGCUCCCUGAGAUCAGCGAGCGGACGGGUGAGUAACACGUGGGUAACCUGCCUGUAAGACUGGGAUAACUCCGGGAAACCGGGGCUAAUACCGGAUAACACCUACCCCCGCAUGGGGGAAGGUUGAAAGGUGGCUUCGGCUAUCACUUACAGAUGGACCCGCGGCGCAUUAGCUAGUUGGUGAGGUAAUGGCUCACCAAGGCGACGAUGCGUAGCCGACCUGAGAGGGUGAUCGGCCACACUGGGACUGAGACACGGCCCAGACUCCUACGGGAGGCAGCAGUAGGGAAUCUUCCGCAAUGGACGAAAGUCUGACGGAGCAACGCCGCGUGAGUGAAGAAGGUUUUCGGAUCGUAAAACUCUGUUGUUAGGGAAGAACAAGUGCCGUUCGAAUAGGGCGGCGCCUUGACGGUACCUAACCAGAAAGCCACGGCUAACUACGUGCCAGCAGCCGCGGUAAUACGUAGGUGGCAAGCGUUGUCCGGAAUUAUUGGGCGUAAAGCGCGCGCAGGUGGUUUCUUAAGUCUGAUGUGAAAGCCCACGGCUCAACCGUGGAGGGUCAUUGGAAACUGGGGAACUUGAGUGCAGAAGAGGAAAGUGGAAUUCCAAGUGUAGCGGUGAA
rnacentral:rRNA from 1 species